rnacentral:rRNA from 1 species
AUUGAACGCUGGCGGCAUGCCUUACACAUGCAAGUCGAACGGCAGCACGGGAGCAAUCCUGGUGGCGAGUGGCGAACGGGUGAGUAAUAUAUCGGAACGUGCCCAGUCGUGGGGGAUAACGUAGCGAAAGCUACGCUAAUACCGCAUACGAUCUAUGGAUGAAAGCGGGGGAUCGCAAGACCUCGCGCGAUUGGAGCGGCCGAUAUCAGAUUAGGUAGUUGGUGGGGUAAAAGCCUACCAAGCCUUCGAUCUGUAGCUGGUCUGAGAGGACGACCAGCCACACUGGAACUGAGACACGGUCCAGACUCCUACGGGAGGCAGCAGUAGGGAAUAUUGGACAAUGGGCGGAAGCCUGAUCCAGCCAUCCCGCGUGUAGGAAUAAGGCCCUAUGGGUUGUAAAUUACUUUUAUUAGGGAAGAAAAACUUUAGAUUUAUCAGAGCUUGACGGUACCUAAGGAAUAAGCACCGGCUAACUCCGUGCCAGCAGCCGCGGUAAAGU